UACGUAGGGGGCAAGUGUUAUCCGGAAUCACUGGGCGUAAAGCGUCUGUAGGUGGUUUAAUAAGUCAACUGUUAAAUCUUGAGGCUCAACCUCAAAAUCGCAGUCGAAACUAUUAGGCUAGAGUAUAGUAGGGGUAAAGGGAAUUUCCAGUGGAGCGGUGAAAUGCGUAGAGAUUGGAAAGAACACCGAUGGCGAAGGCACUUUACUGGGCUAUUACUAACACUCAGAGACGAAAGCUAGGGUAGCAAAUGGG
rnacentral:rRNA from 1 species